rnacentral:rRNA from 1 species
GAUGAACGCUGGCGGCGUGCCUAAUACAUGCAAGUCGAGCGAAUGGAUUAAGAGCUUGCUCUUAUGAAGUUAGCGGCGGACGGGUGAGUAACACGUGGGUAACCUGCCCAUAAGACUGGGAUAACUCCGGGAAACCGGGGCUAAUACCGGAUAACAUUUUGAACCGCAUGGUUCGAAAUUGAAAGGCGGCUUAGGGUGUCACUUAUGGAUGGACCCGCGUCGCAUUAGCUAGUUGGUGAGGUAACGCCUAACCAAGGCAACGAUGCGUAGCCGACCUGAGAGGGUGAUCGGCCACACUGGGACUGAGACACGGCCCAGACUCCUACGGGAGGCAGCAGUAGGGAAUCUGCCGCAAUGGACGAAAGUCUGACGGAGCAACGCCGCGUGAGUGAUGAAGGCUUUCGGGUCGUAAAACUCUGUCGUUAGGGAAGAACAAGUGCUAGUCGAAUAAGCUGGCACCUUGACGGUACCUAACCAGAAAGCCACGGCUAACUACGUGCCAGCCGCCGCAGUAA